GAUGAACGCUGGCGGCGUGCCUAAUACAUGCAAGUCGAGCGAACGGACGAGAAGCUUGCUUCUCUGAUGUUAGCGGCGGACGGGUGAGUAACACGUGGAUAACCUACCUAUAAGACUGGGAUAACUUCGGGAAAUCGGGGCUAAUACCGGAUAAUAUUUUGAACCGCAUGGUUCAAAAGUGAAAGACGGUCUUGCUGUCACUUAUAGAUGGAUCCGCGCUGCAUUAGUUAGUUGGUAAGGUAACGGCUUACCAAGGCAACGAUGCAUAGCCGACCUGAGAGGGUGAUCGGCCACACUGGAACUGAGACACGGUCCAGACUCCUACGGGAGGCAGCAGUAGGGAAUCUUCCGCAAUGGGCGAAAGCCGGACGGAGCAACGCCGCGGGAGUGAUGAAGGUCUUCGGAUCGUAAAACUCUGUUAGUAGGGAAGAACAAAUGUGUAAGUAACUGUGCACAUCUUGACGGUACCUAAUCAGAAAGCCACGGCUAACUACGUG
rnacentral:rRNA from 1 species